GAUGAACGCUGACAGAAUGCUUAACACAUGCAAGUCUUUGGCGAAUCUGUGCUUGCACAGGCUAGCCAAGGCGGACGGGUGAGUAACGCGUAAAGAACUUGCCCUGCAGACAGGGAUAACAGACGGAAACGACUGAUAACACCUGAUACAGUUGCCGGCACGCAUGUGCCUGGCAAUGAAAAGAGAUGCUGCAGGAGAGCUUUGCGUCCUAUUAGCUUGUUGGUGAGGUGACGGCUCACCAAGGCGAUGAUAGGUAGCCGGCCUGAGAGGGUGAACGGCCACCAGGGGACUGAGAUACGGCCCUUACUCCUACGGGAGGCAGCAGUGGGGAAUAUUGGACAAUGGGGGCAACCCUGAUCCAGCAACUCUGUGUGCACGAAGAAGGUUUUCGGAUUGUAAAGUGCUUUCAGCAGGGAAGAAGAAAGUGACGGUACCUGCAGAAGAAGCGACGGCUAAAUACGUG
rnacentral:rRNA from 1 species